rnacentral:rRNA from 1 species
AUGGCGGUCAUGGACGAGGACAACGGUUCUGCGCGCGCACCGGCACCGGCACCGAGGAGGCAGCCCUCAUACUCCUGCAGCGGCGAGACCACUCACGACCACAAGCUUUCCCACUCCGACUCCUUCUGGACGCCGGCCGAAUCGCUGCGGUCGUCGUCCGCUUCGUCGUCGUCCCCACCUCUAUCCAGCAGCUCGUCGUGCGAGAGCAUUCCCGCACUCGACAUUGACCGGCACUCAUCCUUGUCCUCCACAUCCUCCUACGAGAGCUUGCACCACGUCGAGGCGGCGGCGGACCACGACCAUUCUUCCUCUCCCGACGAGUUCAUGCCGGCAACGCUGCCGCCGGCAGUCCAGACGAUGAUGGCGCAGGGGCAGCCCACUGGAUACGACCCGAAGAGGCUCCCUUCAUCGAUGUUCCGCACGCAGUCCACGUGCCCCGCCCAAUGGAGCGCCACCUCGAACGACCAGCUGUUCAGCAUCCAGCUGGAAAACUCCGGCGGGGACGGCCCGCUUUACCUUGUUGGCGACCUCUACUACGACUCCGCUGGGGUGUUCCACCGCCUCUCAUCCGUCGCGAGGCUGCCGGCCGUCCCAGGGAUGUCGACAGGAAACUCCAGCCGGAGUUUGUGCGUGAGGGAUGACUGCGCGGGGUGCAGCACAAGCAUGAACAAGAAGCCCGUCAGGUUCGCUACCACCGAUGGCGUCGCCGGCCCGCGCAGUCUUCCGGCCGCGUUGGAGGAUUCGGAGGCAUCGGCGGCGGAAACUGGCGCGGCGGCGAAGGCUGGUUGGUGCUGUUGGCCGUCGAUGUGGUGGCCAAGCUGCGCGUGCCGCGGAUGCGACUACCGAUGA